rnacentral:lncRNA from 1 species
CAGCAACUGCACGGCUACUUCUCCAUUUAGCCAGACAGAGAAUAAAGGGUCCCUGUAUUCAUGCCUUCCUGGAAAUCUCAGUGCAAGGCCCUAUCAGGAGGUUUCCUGGAGCAGCUAAGGGAACAGCUAGACCACCCAGGAAGAAAUGACAGAAGCCUACCUGACUUCCAAUCUGCUUGCUUCAUGGUGUAAUGGGGGCCUAGACAGAAGCACCCCAAGGACACUUACAACAACUGUUCUGCCAGCUCUAGUCCAUUGGAGAAGAUGUGCCAACAUACCUUCUCACCAUCCCUAGAGCCCAACCUUGCUAUGGAAAGGUCAAACCCUUACCAUUGGCCCUGCCAAGGAUCCCCAGACAGAGAAGCACAAUGGAGGCCAUAAAUUAUGGCUUCUUAUCAUGGCCUCCACAUAACUUAAACUCUGGAUGGUGAAUGAAAUCUGGGGCCAAGUCUUAAAGGGUCAGGGUAGCCAAUGAGCAUAACUCAAUAUUUGUGUUUCUAAGAGAAAACCACAGAACCUCCAUAUCCAUGGCAAACUGGCCAGCCACAGGCUGGAUCCAGUGUGCAGUAGUGUUUUGUGUACACCAUUCACUAUUUGUCUACUUGGGUUAAAAAUGUUUUAUAUUAGUUAGCAAUGUUUAAACAUUGGGAGAAUUAAAGGGAAAUGAAAACGUACUUCCCACAAAUACUUGCACAUAAAUAUUCACAGCAGCAUUGUUUAUAAUUGCCCAAAACUAGAAACAACCCAAAUAUCCAUCAACUGAUGAAUGAUAAACAAGUUGUGGUAUAUUCAUCCAAUAAAACAAUAUUCAGCAAUAAAAAUAAACAAAUCAGGCACUUAAUAUAAUUGAAUAUCAAGGUCAUUAUGUUGAGUGAAAGAGGCCAGAAAAUAAAAGUAUACACUAUUUGAUUCCAUUUAUAUAAUAUUCUAGAAAAUGAAAACCAGUCUAUACUUACAGAAAACAAGGUGGUAGCUUACAGAGAUGGGGUAGAGGGAGGGAGAGAUGACAGAGAGGCAUAAAAAAACUUUCCGGACAAUGAAAAUGUUCUGUAUUUUAAUUGUGGUGAUGGUUUCAUGGAUGUACAAGUUCAUCAAAUCUCAUCAAGUUAAAUAUAUGCAUUUAUUUUAUAUUAAGUGUACCUCAAUAAAGCAGAAAAAUUUAAAAUUG